UACGUAGGGGGGCAAGCGUUUGUCCGGAAUCAUUGGGCGUAAAGCGCGUGUAGGCGGUUCGAUUAGUCUGCUGUGAAAGUCGGGGGCUCAACCCUCGAAUGCCGGUGGAUACUGUCGGGCUAGAGUGCGGAAGAGGCGAGUGGAAUUCCUGGUGUAGCGGUGAAAUGCGCAGAUAUCAGGAGGAACACCGGUGGCGAAGGCGGGUCUCUGGGCAGUAACUGACGCUGAGGAGCGAAAGCGUGGGGAGCGAACAGG
rnacentral:rRNA from 1 species